rnacentral:lncRNA from 1 species
UGGAAGAAUUAUCUGUGUUUCAGGAGCAUGGAUACAUACUAUGUGAAGAGGAAAUCUGAGCUGAGACCUGGAAAUGCCAUUCUACCUACAUAAGAUACUCUCAUCAGGCGAGCUCUCACCAGAGCAUGAAGGCUCCAGGGCACUGUGCUCUAGAGGACAAUAAGUGGCUGCCAAGCUGUCUGGAAACCCAUAUUUUGUCAUGUGGGAAAUUCUGACAUUCUGUAAUGUUUUCAUUCUAAAUAAUAAAACUUUAAGUCUCUCUCA